CUGUGAUGCUGGCUCUGAGCCCAGGGGGUGACAGUGACAAGGAACUGGGUGCACACAUGGGUGAGGCAGCCAGGCCUGGCCAGAGAAGCAACAGACAUGUGCACAGAUGUGUUUACCUACAUACAUGUGUGCACACACAUGUGCAAACACAUGGCACGCAAGCAUGAUGAUGCCUUAGGCAAUGCAGGAUGCUGACUUUGGGCCCUGCUGACCCAGGCAAGGCGCCUUUGUGAUGCUUGCCUUUAUCUCAGAAUGUCACUGGUGCUUAGCACCCGUCCGCUCUCUGCCCUGCCUCUGUGUUCUACAGCAGCUACACACAGACAGUGGUAUCUGUGAGCAGCUCUGUGGACUCAAAGGUUUUCUCCCUGAGAGGCGUAACCCAGGCCAGCUGAUUCAUCAGAAUCAGGUGAGUGUGACCUGCUCUCUUCCCUCCAUGCUGACUUGGGGACAGUGGCUAAUGGUGUGGGUGGUGCUGGCCUCUGGGCACGUGCUGAGGAGGGUCAUCCCUGAACACUCACCGGGUGCCCGUUCUACGCUGCCCGUGUGGACAGUUGUCUCUUUCAUCCUCAUGGUGGCUCCCGCAUGUACCCAUUUGACAGGUGAGAUGUCUGGGGUCAGAGAGGCGGUAACUGGCCUGGGAAUCCCAACAGGACCCUGGGUUUUGCUCUUGGCCCUGCCCUGUGCCAUGUUGGACUUCAGGCCUGAACCCUGCGGCCUCCUUGCCCCAGAUCCCAAAUCUGUCCAGGGUUUCUGAUCCCCACUGGGAUGGGGCAGAGCCUCGCCAUGGCAGAGCCACUGAGAUGGAUCCAUUGUGGGUGAGGUGGAGGGGAGGGUCCUCAGAACACAUCUGUGCCCUAAGCUGGGUCUUGAUGGUCCCUGUGGGACCCACUGAACACACAUGGUCCUUUGUCCGAGAGUGGGAUGGGGAGCCUUCUGCCUUUGGGCAGUCGUGGAAAAUGAAGGAUCCCUGGUGAGCUGGCUGGAGGGAGACUGUCUUCCCUCCUGUUAAAAGGGGUCCAGGUACUGGGGUUCUCCGCAAGUAUUUCUUUCUCUGUCUGAUCCUCUCGAGGCCUCACCCUCCUUUUGCCCUGAGUGUUCCCAGGAGGGAUGGUCCAUCUAGGUGUUCUCCAGAACCAAGGACCCACUGUUCUUCCUCAGUGACCCAGGAAAAUGAAGCCCCCUCCUGUAUGGAUAGCUCAGAAUGGUGGAGUCCACCGUCCCUCCCCGAGAGAUGUGGUUUCCACGAGCAUAGGGGCUGCUUUGGAGACAGUAGAUUAUUUUCAUCCCCCAAACCAAACACCCUCCUGCUUAACUGGCGUUGUUCCUAAAGUGGCUUCACUGGUGAGACUGAAGGGCCACAGUAGCCCAAGUGAUGAGUGGAGUAGAACCGAGCAGUCAGGAGAGGUCUUGUUCCCGUAGGAAACUGGGCAUCUCUGUGGUCCCUGAGCAUCCCAGGAGGCCGACUGUACAGAGACCUCUGGUCCCUGACCCCAGUCUGCCUCCACAUCCCUGGAAUAGCCCAUCAUGGGCCCUUCAACCUUGGCAGGUGGACACCAUUCAACAUGCUGGGGCAGGAUGGACAUGGUAGAGGAUGUGGAUACUUUGCAGGAGUGAGAGGACAUCAUUAUGAAGUAUGAGAACGUACAGGGACACCGAGCUGGGCUGCCAGCAGACACGGGGCCUAAAGCCUGUUGGAAUCUACAGCAGCACUGAUCGCUUUGGGAUUCUGCAGCUGAGCCCUGAGCUGGAUGGGACAGAGCCAGUCCUUUCUGGGGGUCGGCUCCCAGACCGAGAUGGCUCCAAACCUUGUGCAAGUCCUCAGCUCUGCCUGGGCUGCAUUACAGUGAGAAGGAACUGCCCGGUCAGAGCCCGGGAGGUGAAGGUCAUGAAGGAGAAGGGCAAGAGAUCCUCUGAACACAUCCACCAGGUCUACCUGGACAUGAGCUGGACACUAGGGAACCACAUCUUCUUCAGGGAUCGAUAUGGAGUCAAGACAAGGAAGGUCAAUGCACACAGGGUUCCUCAUUCAGCUGGCUUCUCUGGGUGCUGAAUGAUGGGCAAAACCCGAGAAAGGGUCCUCAGGACCCAGGUCUGUGCUGGCAUCACAUGGCGGGAAGACCCUCUGCAAGGGGGACAGGAAGGCCCUUCCCGGCCCACCAGCCCGGUUCCAGCGGCCCAUUUGGUCCGCUUCUCCACCUCGUCCUACACCCUGUCCUGGUGGGGCUGUCCAUGAGGCCAAGGCCCAGGAACAUGUGGGGGCUUCUGGGGAGCCCAGGGCAGCAGACCACUCUCUGGGGGCACCUGGGACUCAGGGCAUGCCCAGCCUGGCCCCGGCUCAGGGAGGACCUCGGCGUUCCUGGAGAUUCCUGCAGUGGAACUCUAUGCUCCAGCUCCCGACGGACCUGGAUGUGGGGGGCCCUUGGUUCCCCCAUGACGAUUUCAAACAGAGCUGCUGGGUCCAUGUCCCUUCUAAAUGUGUCCUGGACAGCCCCGGGACCAUGGGACAGGCCUAG
rnacentral:lncRNA from 1 species